rnacentral:misc_RNA from 1 species
AAGUCGUAACAAGGUCUCCGUUGGUGAACCAGCGGAGGGAUCAUUACUGAGUUGCAAAACUCCCAAAACCACUGUGAACCUACCACUGUUGCUUCGGCGGAUCCGCCCCGGGCGCCCCUCUUAGGGGGUGUGCCCCGGAACCAGGCGCCCGCCGGGGGACCGAAACCUCUGUAUUUUCAGUUGAGUUACUCUGAGUGUGAUUUCUAAAAUCAAAAUUAAAACUUUCAACAACGGAUCUCUUGGCUCUA